GACGAACGCUGGCGGCGUGCUUAACACAUGCAAGUCGAACGGGAAGGCCUGCUUUCCCUUGUGGAUUGCGGGUACUCGAGUGGCGAACGGGUGAGUAACACGUGAGUGAUCUGCCCCCAACUUGGGUAUAAGCCUGGGAAACUGGGUCUAAUUCCCGAUAGGACUGCAGGGUGGUGCCUGUGGUGGAAAACGAUUUUCUAGUGGUUGGGGAUGAGCUCGCGGCCUAUCAGCUUGUUGGUGGGGUAAUGGCCUACCAAGGCGGCGACGGGUAGCCGGCCUGAGAGGGUGGACGGCCACAUUGGGACUGAGAUACGGCCCAGACUCCUACGGGAGGCAGCAGUGGGGAAUAUUGCACAAUGGGCGGAAGCCUGAUGCAGCGACGCCGCGUGGGGGAUGACGGCCUUCGGGUUGUAAACUCCUUUCGACCGCGAGGAAGCCACCUGGUUGGAAGGGUGGUGACGGUAGUGGUAGAAGAAGCACCGGCUAACUACGUG
rnacentral:rRNA from 1 species